rnacentral:misc_RNA from 1 species
AGUCGUAACAAGGUUUCCGAUAGGUGAACCGGCCGGGGAGGGCAAUAUUUCAAUUAAGGUUCGGGGUUCCGGCCCAUUUCGAAGGAAUAACCUGCCAAAGGCCCCUUAGCCCACAGGGUUUUUAUGAAGGGUACCUUUUCGUUUCCUCGGCAGGCUCGCCUGCCAACGGGGACCCUUCAAAACGCUUUGUAAUACCUGUAAUCGUCUGAUAUAACAAGCAAAAAUCAAAA